ACAAAGAACAAUUAGUGGCAGACGGGUGAGUAAUGCAUAGGAAUCUACCUAGUAGUAUGGGAUAGCCACUAGAAAUGGUGGGUAAUACUGUAUAAUCCCUGCGGGGGAAAGAUUUAUCGCUAUUAGAUGAGCCUAUGUUAGAUUAGCUAGUUGGUAGGGUAAAGGCCUACCAAGGCGAUGAUCUAUAGCUGGUCUGAGAGGAUGAUCAGCCACACUGGAACUGAGAUACGGUCCAGACUCCUACGGGAGGCAGCAGUGGGGAAUAUUGGACAAUGGGCGCAAGCCUGAUCCAGCUAUGCCGCGUGAGUGAGGAAGGCCUUAGGGUUGUAAAACUCUUUCAGUAGGGAAGAUAAUGACGGUACCUACAGAAGAAGUCCCGGCAAACUCCGUGCCAGCAGCCGCGGUAAUACGGAGGGGGCAAGCGUUGUUCGGAAUUAUUGGGCGUAAAGGGCAUGUAGGCGGUUCGGUAAGUUAAAGGUGAAAUGCCAGGGCUUAAC
rnacentral:rRNA from 1 species